GAACGCAUCUUGCGCUCCUUGGUAUUCUGAGGAGCAUGCCUGUUUGAGUAUCAUGAGCACCUCAACUCUCGUGGCUUUGCCCAUGAUGAGCUUGGACUUUGGGGGUCUUUGCUGGCUUACGGUCGGCUCCUCUCAAACGAAUCAGCUUGCCAGUGUUUGGCGGCAUCACAGGUGUGAUAACUAUCUGCGCUUGUGGUUUCCCGCUAGAUAACCUUCAGCGAUGGAGGUUCGCUGGAGCUCAUAAAUGUCUCUCCUCAGCGAGGACAGCACUUUGACUGUUUGAUCUCAAAUCAGGUAGGACUACCCGCUGAACUUA
rnacentral:misc_RNA from 1 species